UGCAGUCGGGCGGUAACAGGAAGUGCUUGCACUUUGCUGACGAGCGGCGGACGGGUGAGUAAUGCAUAGGAAUCUGCCUGAUAGUGGGGGAUAGCCCAGAGAAAUUUGGAUUAAUACCGCAUACGCCCUACGGGGGAAAGCUGGGGACCUUCGGGCCUAGCGCUAUCAGAUGAGCCUAUGUCGGAUUAGCUAGUUGGUGAGGUAACGGCUCACCAAGGCGACGAUCCGUAGCUGGUCUGAGAGGAUGAUCAGCCACACUGGGACUGAGACACGGCCCAGACUCCUACGGGAGGCAGCAGUGGGGAAUAUUGGACAAUGGGCGCAAGCCUGAUCCAGCCAUGCCGCGUGUGUGAAGAAGGCCUUCGGGUUGUAAAGCACUUUCAGCGAGGANGAAAAGAUGGUUGCUAAUAUCAACCGUCUGUGACGUUACUCGCAGAAGAAGCACCGGCUAACUCCGUGCCAGCAGCCGCGGUAAUACGGANGGUGCAAGCGUUAAUCGGAAUUACUGGGCGUAAAGCGUGCGUAGGCNGNCUUUUNAGUUGGAUGUGAAAGCCCCGGGCUCAACCUGGGNACGNCAUCCAAAACUGANANNCUCGAGUG
rnacentral:rRNA from 1 species